UUUUAUGGAGAGUUUGAUCCUGGCUCAGGACGAACGCUGGCGGCGUGCCUAAUACAUGCAAGUCGAGCGAACAGAGAAGGAGCUUGCUCCUUUGACGUUAGCGGCGGACGGGUGAGUAACACGUGGGCAACCUACCUUAUAGUUUGGGAUAACU
rnacentral:rRNA from 1 species